UUCUCCUCUGUGGUCUUCUCCUCUGUGGUCUCCUGAGUCCCCUCUGAUUGCUGCAGAAUUACCGAGAGGGUGCUGACUGCAGACUGCGGAGUUGGACACCCAGCACGUCCAGCCCCGCCCACCUUGUCCGCGUCAUGUUGUCCAGUCCCGCCCACUUUCCCAAAAUGCGCAUGCGCAAGCUUUUUUAAUCUAAAAACAUGACUUAAUUAAAUUAAAAAAUCCAAAUUCAUGUCCAGCUGACUUUCUAUACUAUAUCAAUGUAAAACCUCAAGUUAAAACCGCAGCUAUAAAUUAAUUACUUGCAUUCAAGCAAAUAAUCUAAUAUUUUUUAAUUAUUAGAGUGAGUAAAAACACUUUACAUGAAUGAGAGCAGUGUUUUACUUUUUACAGUGUAUUUCAGAAUUCUGGGGGUGAAUUGAGGUGUCUCUCCUACACUCCCAGCUUUACCUGCGAUCUCCAGCCUCCGGACUACAAUACCCAGAAUGCACCUCACACUGACAUCUCCCCCUCACGCAACUACAUGAUACUGCACAUGGCACUACCCGGAAGCUAAUCACAAGAGUAAUGAAUUCACCUGUUCCCCUUAGUAUAAAUACACCUUCACUCCAUUCACACCUCGCAGAGUAUUGAUGAGUUUAUCCUCGUACAAAGCGUUACCCUUGCCUGUUUUGUCUCUUUCAUUUACCGACCUUGUUUUUGUAUUUUUGACCUUGACUUCUGCCUUACCUCUUAAAAAUGGUCGUGUUUGAGCCAUGGACUGUCUCUUGUUUUUGGUAUGUUUAAUCCCUGCCACUGCUGUUUAAUGGUGUUGACCCUGCUUGCUUUGACUACUCUCUGUAUUACUCUUUUUUAUUAAAAAGUGUGUUUGUGACCUGCGUGAUCAACUUGGGCACCUAAACAGAGAAAAGAAAAAAAUGCGAAAACAUGAUUAAUAUUUAUUUCUAUGUGUUUUUCUCUGAUACACAGGAGUACAAACAAAAUCUGGCUCGUUUCAGCUCAGAUGCCAGUGUAUACGGUACUCUUCCAAGCCUUUUCCCUGGAGCAGGAUUGUAGAGUUCUCCAUCACUCAACCACACAGAUGUGAAACCACUGAAGUUGUAAUCACACUGAAGACCAUCAAUCCAGCAACAGGAAAGAAUUACCAGCGCUGUCUGGACCUUAAGCUGAGCCAAACCGCAAUCCUUCAGGAAUGCUGGAACAGGAUAAACAAAGAUGCAAGCAAAUCAGUUCAAAUUCUCAGAAUGUGGACAGAGAAAGUGAAAGCACAUGCUGAGAAGGCUGAAACAGAGGGACGGAUAUGGGGCCACUAGGAAAACUCCAGUGGAAAUUCCUGCAGGUCACAUGACUAAACAAAAUACAAUGAAACUGAGGGAAUUCAGCCUAUUGGGAAAACACAGAGGGUUAGAUAAGACAAUAGCUGGACAAUAGCUCUUCCAAAACUGUCACUAGCAGAUAUUUUACAGUCAGAAACCAGUUUUCCCCAAAGGACUCUGGGAAUGACUGUGGCUGUAUUCCAGAUUAUUAUACAAGCUCUGAUUAAUGUUCUGUGCAUUAGAACUCUGUUGCUGUAUUAAAUUCCCUUUAUUUUACUACAGUUUGCAUUUAAAUUGUAUUAUCUUAUUGUAUUCAAUUGCAGUAUCA
rnacentral:lncRNA from 1 species